UUUUCACAAUCUUUUAUUCGUAUAGUCUCUUUCGCCUGAUACCCACUCGUUCUGGAGUGGGCAGCUGUCUUCAGGGCCCAGCGGAGACUCCUGCCUGAGGAGAAGGAAAUAAAGAAGGGCGACAGGCUGGCUCAUGGAGCCCGUCUCCUUUAGUCACGCCGUGUGCUCUGAUCGGAGGGGCAGCUUGUCUCGCGCCAGUGUCCCCACCCACAGUCGCGUCUUCCACCUGUCCUCGUCACACUCCGCCCUGGACGUGACCUGGGUUCGAACCCACGGCACCCGGAUCACAGUGCAACUUACUAUCUUUCACACUCCUCAACCUGGAAAAACAUGGGAAACGAUGAAUGUACUGUACAAAGCAUUCUCACUGGACUCUGAAGUAGCUGUCAAGUCUCUGCUAUUGAUUUUUAUAUUGAGCUCAGUACUUUGGGAUCCACUAUUUAAAUGAAGUUUCUACCAUGCAGUAAAUACUGAUUUUUCUGUAUUAUAAAAUGUAUUUUGUUUUAAA